rnacentral:rRNA from 1 species
UGGGGAAUAUUGGACAAUGGGCGCAAGCCUGAUCCAGCCAUGCCGCGUGAGUGAUGAAGGCCUUAGGGUUGUAAAGCUCUUUCACCCGUGACGAUAAUGACGGUAACGGGAGAAGAAGCCCCGGCUAACUUCGUGCCAGCAGCCGCGGUAAUACGAAGGGGGCUAGCGUUGUUCGGAAUCACUGGGCGUAAAGCGCACGUAGGCGGAUUGAUAAGUCAGGGGUGAAAUCCCGGGGCUCAACCUCGGCACUGCCUUUGAUACUGUCAGUCUUGAGUUCGGGAGAGGUGAGUGGAACUCCGAGUGUAGAGGUGAAAUUCGUAGAUAUUCGGAAGAACACCAGUGGCGAAGGCGGCUCACUGGCCCGAUACUGACGCUGAGGUGCGAAAGCGUGGGGAGCAAA